GACGAACGCUGGCGGCGUGCCUAAUACAUGCAAGUCGAGCGAAGUUUUUCUGGUGCUUGCACUAGAAAAACUUAGCGGCGAACGGGUGAGUAACACGUAAAGAACCUGCCUCAUAGACUGGGACAACUAUUGGAAACGAUAGCUAAUACCGGAUAACAGUAUUUCUCGCAUGGGAGAUAUUUAAAAGUUGGUUAUGCUAACACUAUGAGAUGGCUUUGCGGUGCAUUAGCUAGUUGGUGGGGUAAAGGCCCACCAAGGCGACGAUGCAUAGCCGACCUGAGAGGGUGAUCGGCCACACUGGGACUGAGACACGGCCCAGACUCCUACGGGAGGCAGCAGUAGGGAAUCUUCCGCAAAGGGCGAAAGCCUGACGGAGCAACGCCGCGUGAGUGAAGAAGGAUUUCGGUUCGUAAAGCUCUGUUGUUAGGGAAGAAUGGAUAUGUAGUAACUAUACAUGUAAGAGACGGUACCUAGCCAGAAAGCCACGGCUAACUACGUG
rnacentral:rRNA from 1 species